UCCUUGUAUCUCUCUCCCAGUGUUAUUCUCUUCCUUCCCCUCUGCCAUCUUUCAUUCGAUUCCUCUAUCAGAUUCUUUACUUUCCAUCAUCAAACCCUCUAUUUUCUAUCUGACAUCAUCACCACUAAUAAACAAGACAAAACCCAUUGUGGGAAAAAAUUGGCGAUAGAGAAAGAGAGCUUUCGGUUUUUUCUUUCUUUUUUUCCUUAGCACAAACCCAAAGCCUUGGCUGACACCAAACCCAAUCUCCUCCUCAUCCAUGGCCUAGGUGCUAAUACAUUGUGGCAGUGGGAUGACGUCAUUCGCCGCUUCACCCCUUGCUUCAAUGUCUAAGUCCCUGACUUAGUCUUCUUUGGCAAGUCGUUCACCACCUGGCCGAAGUGGACUGAGUCAUUACUAAAACUAAGCUCGGUUGGGCAGGGGGAGGAAGGUGAGAGGGCAAAGACAGAGUGAACGGAAUUGGGCGAGAGAGUGACAUCAUUUAUUCAAGAAUUUUUAUAUUAUAAAUUAAAG
rnacentral:misc_RNA from 1 species